rnacentral:rRNA from 1 species
GACGAACGCUGGCGGCGCGCCUAAUACAUGCAAGUAGAACGCUGAAGGAGGAGCUUGCUUCCCUGGAUGAGUUGCGAACGGGUGAGUAACGCGUAGGUAACCUGCCUGGUAGCGGGGGGUAACUAUUGGAAACGAUAGCUAAUACCGCAUAAGAGUAGAUGUUGCAUGACAUUUGCUUAAAAGGUGCAAUUGCAUCACUACCAGAUGGACCUGCGUUGUAUUAGCUAGUUGGUGAGGUAACGGCUCACCAAGGCGACGAUACAUAGCCGACCUGAGAGGGUGAUCGGCCACACUGGGACUGAGACACGGCCCAGACUCCUACGGGAGGCAGCAGUAGGGAAUCUUCGGCAAUGGACGGAAGUCUGACCGAGCAACGCCGCGUGAGUGAAGAAGGUUUUCAGAUCGUAAAGCUCUGUUGUAAGAGAAGAACGAGUGUGAGAGUGGAAAGUUCACACUGUGACGGUAUCUUACCAGAAAGGGACGGCUAACUACGUGC